rnacentral:rRNA from 1 species
UGGGGAAUUUUGGACAAUGGGGGAAACCCUGAUCCAGCCAUCCCGCGUGUGCGAUGAAGGCCUUCGGGUUGUAAAGCACUUUUGGCAGGAAAGAAACGUCAUGGGUUAAUACCCCGUGAAACUGACGGUACCUGCAGAAUAAGCACCGGCUAACUACGUGCCAGCUGCCGCGGUAAUACGUAGGGUGCAAGCGUUAAUCGGAAUUACUGGGCGUAAAGCGUGCGCAGGCGGUUCGGAAAGAAAGAUGUGAAAUCCCAGAGCUCAACUUUGGAACUGCAUUUUUAACUACCGGGCUAGAGUGUGGCAGAGGGAGGUGGAAUUCCGCGUGUAGCAGUGAAAUGCGUAGAUAUGCGGAGGAACACCGAUGGCGAAGGCAGCCUACUGGGAUAACACUGACGCUCAUGCACGAAAGCGUGGGGAGCAAACAGG